rnacentral:rRNA from 1 species
CGUAACGCGUAUGCAAUUUGCCCAUAACUGGGGGAUAGCCCGGAGAAAUCCGGAUUAAUACCCUAUAGUAUGUUGAGAAGGCAUCUUCUUAACAUUAAAGAUUUAUCGGUUAUGGAUGAGCAUGCGUCUGAUUAGCUAGUUGGUAAGGUAACGGCUUACCAAGGCUACGAUCAGUAGGGGGUCUGAGAGGAUGAUCCCCCACACUGGUACUGAGAUACGGACCAG